CCAAGCAUUUACUGCAUUGUUGCACCGAAAGGUUUUACUUGCAUUGUUUGCAGCCUAAAGCUUUUACCAUUGUUGCUAGCCUAAGAGCGUUUUACAGCUUGUUGCUAGCCUAAAGCGUUUUACAGCUUGUUGCUAGCCUAAAGCGUUUUACUGCAUUGUUGCUAGCCUAAAGCGUUUUACUGCAUUGUUGCUAGCCUAAAGUG
rnacentral:lncRNA from 1 species